AUUGAACGCUGGCGGCAGGCCUAACACAUGCAAGUCGAGCGGAUGAAGGGAGCUUGCUCCUGGAUUCAGCGGCGGACGGGUGAGUAAUGCCUAGGAAUCUGCCCGGUCGUUGGGGAUAACGUCCGGAAACGGGCGCUAAUAUCGCAUACGUCCUGAGGGAGAAAGUGGGGGUUCUUCGGACACAACGCUAUCAGAUGAGACUAGGUCGGAUUAGCUAGUUGGUGGGGUAAAGGCCUACCAAGGCGACGAUCCGUAACUGGUCUGAGAGGAUGAUCAGUCACACUGGAACUGAGACACGGUCCAGACUCCUACGGGAGGCAGCAGUGGGGAAUAUUGGACAAUGGGCGAAAGCCUGAUCCAGCCAUGCCGCGUGUGUGAAGAAGGUCUUCGGAUUGUAAAACACUGUAAGUUGGGAGGAAGGGAAGUAAGUUAAUAUCUUGCUGUUUUGACGUUACCAACAGAAUAAGCACCGGCUAACUUCGUG
rnacentral:rRNA from 1 species